rnacentral:rRNA from 1 species
UUGGCGGACGGGUGAGUAACGCGUGGGUAACCUGCCUUGCACUGGGGGAUAACACUUAGAAAUAGGUGCUAAUACCGCAUAAGCGCACGGUCCUGCAUGGGACAGUGUGAAAAACUCCGGUGGUGCAAGAUGGACCCGCGUCUGAUUAGCUGGUUGGCGGGGUAAAGGCCCACCAAGGCGACGAUCAGUAGCCGGCCUGAGAGGGUGGACGGCCACAUUGGGACCGAGACACGGCCCAAACUCCUACGGAAGGCAGCAG